rnacentral:rRNA from 1 species
UACAGAGGGUGCGAGCGUUAAUCGGAGUUACUGGGUGUAAAGGGCGCGUAGGCGGUGAGAUGUGUGUGAUGUGAAAGCCCCGGGCUUAACCUGGGAAGUGCAUCGCAAACUGUUUGACUAGAGUAUAUGAGAGGGUGGCGGAAUUUCCGGUGUAGCGGUGAAAUGCGUAGAGAUCGGAAGGAACGUCAAUGGCGAAGGCAGCCACCUGGCAUAAUACUGACGCUGAGGCGCGAAAGCGUGGGGAGCGAACAGG